rnacentral:rRNA from 1 species
UACGAAGGGGGCUAGCGUUGCUCGGAAUCACUGGGCGUAAAGCGCACGUAGGCGGAUUUGUAAGUCAGGGGUGAAAUCCCGGGGCUCAACCUCGGAACUGCCUUUGAUACUGCAAAUCUCGAGUCCGGAAGAGGUGAGUGGAAUUCCUAGUGUAGAGGUGAAAUUCGUAGAUAUCAGGAAGAACACCCGUGGCGAAGGCGGCUCUCUGGGACGUGACUGACGCUGAGACGCGAAAGCGUGGGGAGCAAACAGG